CUGAGUCCCCUGGAACGGGGCGCCAUAGAGGGUGAGAGCCCCGUAUAGUUGGAUGCCGAGCCGAUGUGAAUCUCCUUCGACGAGUCGAGUAGUUUGGGAAUGCUGCUCAAAAUGGGAGGUAAAUUUCUUCUAAAGCUAAAUACCGGCCAGAGACCGAUAGCGCACAAGUAGAGUGAUCGAAAGAUGAAAAGCACUUUGAAAAGAGGGUUAAACAGCACGUGAAAUUGUUGAAAGGGAAGCGCUUGUGACCAGACUUGCGCCCGGUUGAUCAUCCGGUGUUCUCACCGGUGCACUCUGCCGGGCUCAGGCCAGCAUCGGUUCUCUUGGGGGAAUAAAGGUCCAGGGAACGUGGCUCUUCCGGGAGUGUUAUAGCCCUGGGCGCAACGCCCUCGAGGGGACCGAGGUUCGCGCAUCUGCAAGGAUGCUGGCGUAAUGGUCAUCAGCGAC
rnacentral:rRNA from 1 species